UAACAGGUGUUGCAGAUUAACUUGUAUAUUGUCCUGAACAAUGAUACUCUUUGUUUUUAUUUUGCUUUUUUCUCUUGCAGGUGAUAUUUUUGGGAAUGUCAUCACACCGGUCUACAGUGAAGUAUACAGAACAGAAAAGGACAUUACAUCUCUCUCCUGUAACUACUCCUCAGCGGCGAGACUAUAUUGGUAUCGUCAAUAUCCCCAAUCGGCUCCUGAAUUUCUUUUAGUCAUUCUACAUGCUACUGGAAAUGUUUUACAGAAGUCUGAAGUUGUGGAACUAGAUCCUCGAUUCUCUGGAAAACUGAAUAAAGAGAAAACCCGCACGUAUCUUGAAAUCUCCUCUGCUAAAGUGACAGACUCUGCUCUGUACUACUGUGCCCUGGAGCCCACAGUGACAGGAAAACAAACAACACUGUACAAAAACCUUUCCUACACAGAGGGUAAAAUAUACCACAUUCAACUGCAUCACAGUCAAUCUGCAGAAAUAUGGGAAAUAAAAUAAAUAAAUAAAAAUAAAAUGCAACCUAAUGUUUCUGAUGUACAGUCCCAAUUUUGUUUGGUUGCUUAGAUUUUGUAUGUGCGGAUGGGUUUUAAAGCUGAGACUGAUUGUGCUGAAAAGCAACCAUUCCACAAGACUACUAAAGCAACACAUACUGGGGUUAGGUAUUAACUGUAAAUAAAAGCUCCAUGAUUUGUAAGCUAUGUAUGUGUUACCUAACUCCAAAAUCCUAAUGUAACCUAAUUAAGAAAAAAAUAAGUGACAAUAAUAACAGCAACAAUAGAA